AUAAUAGUCAUAAAACCAUCAAUUUAAGAACAAUAAGGUAGUAUCAUAUGUUUGGGUUGAUGAUACCUUUGAUUUCUCCUUUUGCGACUUGCUCUUGAUUGGUUGGAGAAAGGUAGAGAGAAGCUGCUGUAGAGAGAGGCGAGAACUUAGAAUAUCAAUAAAGGUUUUUUUUUUUGUAAAAAUUACUUUUCUCCCACUCUAUAUUUCAACAGAUUUUAUGACAUUUAAAAUUUCCUAAUUGUUAUGCUAUUGAAGUUUGAUAUAGGAAUUGUGAAAUUUGGUGACAUUUACUAAAUAUCACCUGUUGUAUACAGUCAUGGAUGCGUGGUUUGGUAAUUUGUGGAGGAAGUCACGCAAGGGCCAUGUUUUGGAGCCUGAAAAGGCCGUGAUUGGAAUUUUGGCAUUUGAAGUUGCUACUUUGAUGGCUAAAGUGGUUAAUUUAUGGGAGCGUUUAAGUGAUAAGCAGACCAUUCGAUUGCGUGAAGAAAUUAUACACUCACCUGGGAUUCAAAAGCUUGUUUCGGAUGAUGGUGAUUAUCUUAUGGAUCUUGUUCUUGCUGAAAUAAUUGAUAAUUUGGGAAGUGUGACG
rnacentral:lncRNA from 1 species